GUGCUCUCUUUGGCAGCACAUAUACUAAAAUUGGAGCAAUACAGAGAUUAGCAUAGUCUCUGCACAAGGAUGGCAUGCAAAUUUAUGAAGCAGUAUGUAUUUUU